GAUGAAGAACGUAGCGAAAUGCGAUAAGUAAUGUGAAUUGCAGAAUUCAGUGAAUCAUCGAAUCUUUGAACGCACAUUGCGCCCGCCAGUAUUCUGGCGGGCAUGCCUGUUCGAGCGUCAUUACAACCCUCAGGCCCCCGGGCCUGGCGUUGGGGAUCGGCAGAAGCCCCCUGUGGGCACACGCCGUCCCUCAAAUACAGUGGCGGUCCCGCCGCAGCUUCCAUUGCGUAGUAGCUAACACCUCGCAACUGGAGAGCGGCGCGGCCAUGCCGUAAAACACCCAACUUCUGAAUGUUGACCUCGAAUCAGGUAGGAAUACCCGCUCAACUUAAGCAUAUCAAUAAGCGGAGGA
rnacentral:misc_RNA from 1 species